AGUGAACGCUGGCGGUAGGCCUAACACAUGCAAGUCGAACGGCAGCACAGUAAGAGCUUGCUCUUACGGGUGGCGGGUGGCGGACGGGUGAGGAAUACAUCGGAAUCUACUUUUUCGUGGGGGAUAACGUAGGGAAACUUACGCCAAUACCGCAUACGACCUACGGGUGAAAGCAGGGGAUCUUCGGACCUUGCGCGAUUGAAUGAGCCGAUGUCGGAUUAGCUAGUUGGCGGGGUAAAGGCCCACCAAGGCGACGAUCCGUAGCUGGUCUGAGAGGAUGAUCAGCCACACUGGAACUGAGACACGGUCCAGACUCCUACGGGAGGCAGCAGUGGGGAAUAUUGGACAAUGGGCGCAAGCCUGAUCCAGCCAUACCGCGUGGGUGAAGAAGGCCUUCGGGUUGUAAAGCCCUUUUGUUGGGAAAGAAAAGCAGCAGGUUAAUACCCCGCUGUUCUGACGGUACCCAAAGAAUAAGCACCGGCUAACUUCGUG
rnacentral:rRNA from 1 species